rnacentral:rRNA from 1 species
AGUGGCGAACGGGUGAGUAACACGUGAGUAACCUGCCCCUGACUCUGGGAUAAGCGUUGGAAACGACGUCUAAUACUGGAUAUGACUGCCGGCCGCAUGGUCUGGUGGUGGAAAGAUUUUUUGGUUGGGGAUGGACUCGCGGCCUAUCAGCUUGUUGGUGAGGUAAUGGCUCACCAAGGCGACGACGGGUAGCCGGCCUGAGAGGGUGACCGGCCACACUGGGACUGAGACACGGCCCAGACUCCUACGGGAGGCAGCAGUGGGGAAUAUUGCACAAUGGGCGAAAGCCUGAUGCAGCAACGCCGCGUGAGGGAUGACGGCCUUCGGGUUGUAAACCUCUUUUAGUAGGGAAGAAGCGAAAGUGACGGUACCUGCAGAAAAAGCACCGGCUAACUACGUGCCAGCAGCCGCGGUAAUACGUAGGGUGCAAGCGUUGUCCGGAAUUAUUGGGCGUAAAGAGCUCGUAGGCGGUUUGUCGCGUCUGCUGUGAAAUCCCGAGGCUCAACCUCGGGCUUGCAGUGGGUACGGGCAGACUAGAGUGCGGUAGGGGAGAUUGGAAUUCCUGGUGUAGCGGUGGAAUGCGCAGAUAUCAGGAGGAACACCGAUGGCGAAGGCAGAUCUCUGGGCCGUAACUGACGCU